AACGCGAAGAACCUUACCUACUCUUGACAUCCAGAGAACUUUCCAGAGAUGGAUUGGUGCCUUCGGGAACUCUGAGACAGGUGCUGCAUGGCUGUCGUCAGCUCGUGUUGUGAAAUGUUGGGUUAAGUCCCGCAACGAGCGCAACCCUUAUCCUUUGUUGCCAGCGGUCCGGCCGGGAACUCAAAGGAGACUGCCAGUGAUAAACUGGAGGAAGGUGGGGAUGACGUCAAGUCAUCAUGGCCCUUACGAGUAGGGCUACACACGUGCUACAAUGGCGCAUACAAAGAGAAGCGACCUCGCGAGAGCAAGCGGACCUCAUAAAGUGCGUCGUAGUCCGGAUUGGAGUCUGCAACUCGACUCCAUGAAGUCGGAAUCGC
rnacentral:rRNA from 1 species